UUUUUUUUUUUUUUUUUUUUUUUUUUUUUUUUUUUUUUUUUUUUUUUUUUUUUUUUUUUUUUUUUUUUUUUUUUUUUUUUUUUUUUUUUUUUUUUUUUUUUUUUUUUUUUUUUUUUUUUUUUUUUUUUUUUUUUUUUUUUUUUUUUUUUUUUUUUUUUUUUUUUUUUUUUUUUUUUUUUUUUUUUUUUUUUUUUUUUUUUUUUUUUUUUUUUUUUUUUUUUUUUUUUUUUUUUUUUUUUUUUUUUUUUUUUUUUUUUUUUUUUUUUUUUUUUUUUUUUUUUUUUUUUUUUUUUUUUUUUUUUUUUUUUUUUUUUUUUUUUUUUUUUUUUUUUUUUUUUUUUUUUUUUUUUUUUUUUUUUUUUUUUUUUUUUUUUUUUUUUUUUUUUUUUUUUUUUUUUUUUUUUUUUUUUUU
rnacentral:misc_RNA from 1 species